GAUGAACGCUGGCGGCGUGCCUAAUACAUGCAAGUCGAGCGAACAGACGAUGAGCUUGCUCCUCUGACGUUAGCGGCGGGCGGGUGAGUAACACGUGGAUAACCUACUUAUAAGACUGGUAUCACUUCGGGAAACCGGCGCUUAUCCCGGAGGAUAUAUUGAUCCACAUGGGGCAUUGGAAAAUGACGGUUUUUCUGGAACUUAUCGCUGGUUCUCGGCCGCAUUAGCUGGUAGUUAAGGUCAUGGCUUAGCAAGGCAACGAUGCGUGGACGACGUGAGAGGGUGAUAGGCCGCACUGGAAGUGAGACAGCGUCCAGGCUCCUAAGGGAGGCAGCAGUAGGGAAUCUGACGCAAUGGGCGAAAGUUUGACGGAGCAAGCGCGAGUGUGUGAUGAAGGUCUUGCGAUCGUAAAACUCUGUUAUUAGGGAAGAACAAAUGUGGAAGUAACUAUGCACGUAUUGACGGUAACUAAUCAGAAAGCCACGGCUAACUACGUG
rnacentral:rRNA from 1 species